rnacentral:lncRNA from 1 species
AUGAAUUUCCCCAGCCUCAUCUGCAGAUCAGUUGCAGAAAACUGAUGAAACCAGAAGAGGUGAAAGACUUCUGGUGAUGGAGACUCAAAGCAAAAGACAGACACAGGAGCGCUGCUGUUCAACAAAGGAUGAACUCUCCUAGUGGGAGCUGUCUGCUCACUGGUACCCCAAGGGUGGUUUUUGCUGAAGGAUUUGGACACAAAGCAGGACCCUCAGAUGGAAGAGAGAAGAGAAUGGAUUUUGUCACCAGCCUCUGAGAUACAUGUGUCUGCCUUACAGAUAGAAAGUUACUGCAAAGAGGACUUUUAUGCUGGCUGCAUACCUGUGUGGAAGCCACCUCUGUGGUUUACCUGGUUGAAGCUCCUGUUAGCACUUGAAUUUCAUCCAUCCUGCAGCAUGACCUGGUGGUUCUGUGAUACCACCAUCAGAAGAUGUAGGUAACCUUCAAUCUUUUAAUGUGUUCACCUGUCCUGGGACAAGUGAGGCAGAGAAACACAUCCUUGUAUCCUUGUUCGGUAGCUGAUGAAGUAAGGGCCUGAGAGGUGGGUUGUAUGGUGGCAGCAGAUGAGUGGCUUGGAUGUCUCCAGCCCUUAGGCUGGAGUCUUGUUUAUUAGCCCAGUCUUAAAAAUGUAUAAAAUCACAGUUACAAAUGAUAGGCUGUGGCAGCUGGCUGUGCCUGGCCUGUCAGAAUUAGGGAAUUUGUGUUUCUUUCUCAACAGCAAUGACUGAAGAGAAGGGUGCUGUUCACACUGACACACCCACAAACACUUACACUGGCUCAUUGUGAAACAUUUGGCAUUUCGUGUUGCACAAGCCAAAAGGGAAAGGAUUUAGGCUGACAACUGGAAGUAGAGGUGAAACAGCAGUCAAGGUGUACUGAGGAUGUUGCUAGCAUUUCAUAUCUCCAUGGAUCCCAGCCCAAAGAUGACAAAUAUCUAGUGCAGGGGACUAGAAAUGGCACUGGGAGAAAACAAGUUAAGGGAGUGACUAAGACAGGUUUCCCCCAUCAUUUUCUGUUUUGUAAUAUUAGAAAGAUCUGUUAUGGAUCAGUGUUUAUGAACCAGACAGCAGUGACCUUUUAGAAAUGGGAUUUGGCUGGGGUCUUACAAAGGUCCUCAAUAAUGUAAACUCUACUCACACAAAUAAAGAACACAAAGUGAGAUUUCUGCA